rnacentral:lncRNA from 1 species
GCACUUGGCCCUGCACCCUGACGAUGAAGUGCCCACCGGCUCCGGAAUCCUCGCCGCGGGCACUGUGGAGGGCGAAGGUGACAGCUCCCGGAGGGACCCUGGGUGCCUCUGCCAGGUGCACUGGAGAAGCCAUUUUGGUGACCCAGGUUCCAGCUCUGCAACAGACAGGACACUAAACCUACAGAGAUGACAGACUCCUCAGGCUGCCAGCACCCAUCUGCAGGGCUGGCCUGUGUGGCCCUGCCUCAGUCUUGGGAUGGGAGCCCUGUGCAGCCCUGCAAUUCCGGGGACUGUCACGGCAGGGGCCUUUGUCCGACACGGGUCCAUGACUGCAGACUUCAUUCCGACCUGCUAGUCUUGGGUGGAGGAAGCUGAUCUCAUUUACAACCGUGAGCACAACCAGGCCUCUCUCGUCUGACUGGGAAUUAGGGAGUGCUCUAUUUCAACCCAUAAAUUCCACCUCUUUCCACUUUUACACAGAUGCCAAAGGGACCACCGUGUCUCCAAGAGAAAGUUCGGGGGUGCCCUGGCACGUGUCACCGCUGCUGUGGCCGCGGUGUGGGCUCUCUGUGCGGAAGCAGGUGCAGCCUGGGCCAGGAAAAGGCACCACAGGGCCCCGAGGUGACGUCUAUGGGAAGAGAAAUGGGCCGUGUGAUUGCCAGAAAAGCACAGAUCACGUCUCUGCCUGGAGUCCAGGAAACGGUACAACCGUAACGCCAGAGACAUCCUCUGGCUCUUCCUGUUUUCUCAAGAUCUGAUUGAGGUUUGGAAACACCUUGUACUCAUUUUAGAGGCGAGGAAGAUCUGCAGAGCAGAGCAGUCUGAGCGGCGCAUCUGCUGUGGGGCAGUGAGGGGCUGCCCUGGACCUGGGAAUCAGGGAGCAGAGCUCGGGGUGUGGGUGUCGGGCCACACAGAGCCCACCAGAGCCCUGCCAGGUCCCCGAUCCUAUGAAAAUCUGGUCAAGCAACAGAACUAGGUCAUCUCUUCUGUACCCCCAAGCCCAGG